UGGGGAAUAUUGCACAAUGGAGGGAACUCUGAUGCAGCGACGCCGCGUGAACGAAGAAGGCUUUCGAGUCGUAAAGUUCUUUUAUAUGGGAAGAUAAUGACGGUACCAUAAGAAAAAGCCCCGGCUAACUACGUGCCAGCAGCCGCGGUAAUACGUAGGGGGCUAGCGUUGUCCGGAAUCACUGGGCGUAAAGGGUUCGCAGGCGGAAAUGCAAGUCAGGUGUAAAAGGCAGUAGCUUAACUACUGUAAGCAUUUGAAACUGCAUAUCGUGAGAAGAGUAGAGGUAAGUGGAAUUUUUAGUGUAGCGGUGAAAUGCGUAGAUAUUAAAAAGAAUACCGGGGGCGAAGGCGACUUACUGGGAUCAUUCUGACGCUGAGGAACGAAAGAGUGGGUAGCAAACAGG
rnacentral:rRNA from 1 species